rnacentral:rRNA from 1 species
GACGAACGCUGGCGGCGUGCUUAACACAUGCAAGUCGAACGGAAAGGCCCCUUUGGGGGUACUCGAGUGGCGAACGGGUGAGUAACACGUGAGUAACCUUCCCUUGACUUCGGGAUAACUUCAGGAAACUGGGGCUAAUACCGGAUAGGAAUCCUUGCUGCAUGGGGGGGGUUGGAAAGCUUCGGCGGUUUUGGAUGGACUCGCGGCUUAUCAGCUUGUUGGUGGGGUAGUGGCUUACCAAGGCUUUGACGGGUAGCCGGCCUGAGAGGGCGACCGGCCACAUUGGGACUGAGAUACGGCCCAGACUCCGACGGGAGGCAGCAGUGGGGAAUAUUGAACAAUGGGCGGAAGCCUGAUGCAGCAACGCCGCGUGCGGGAUGACGGCCUUCGGGUUGUAAACCGCUUUCAGCAGGGGCGAAGCUUGUGGUGACGGUACCUGAAGAAGAAGCACCGGCUAACUACGUG